rnacentral:sRNA from 1 species
UACUGACAGACCCACACGUCUGACCACGA